UACGUAGGGUGCAAGCGUUAAUCGGAAUUACUGGGCGUAAAGCGUGCGCAGGCGGUUUCGCAAGUCAGAUGUGAAAUCCCCGGGCUCAACCUGGGAACUGCAUUUGAAACUACGAGGCUAGAGUGUGUCAGAGGGGGGGUAGAAUUCCACGUGUAGCAGUGAAAUGCGUAGAGAUGUGGAGGAAUACCGAUGGCGAAGGCAGCCCCCUGGGAUAACACUGACGCUCAUGCACGAAAGCGUGGGGAGCAAACAGG
rnacentral:rRNA from 1 species